rfam:Mycoplasma verecundum strain ATCC 27862 genome assembly, contig: EI66DRAFT_scaffold00037.37
UUCAGAACGUCGUGAGACAGUUCGGUCCCUAUCUGAUGUGGGCGUUGGAAUAUUGAUGAGAGCUGCUCUUAGUACGAGAGGACCGGAGUGGACGUACCGCUGGUGUUCCAGUUGUUCCGCCAGGAGCAUAGCUGGGUAGCUAAGUACGGAAGGGAUAACCGCUGAAAGCAUCUAAGUGGGAAGCCUCCUCAGAGAUAAGUAUUCCCUUGAAAUUCCUUGUAGACUACGAGGUUGAUAGGAUGGAAGUGUAAGUGUAGUAAUACAUUCAGCUGACCAUUACUAAUAAAUUGAUAGGUUUAAAAGU